GGUACAGGGGGAUAACCACUUCCCUGGUCCUGCUGGCCACACUAUUGCUGAUACAGGCCAGGAAGCCAUUGGCCUUCUUGGUCACUGAAGAGAAAUGUAGUCUCUGGAAUUUUUUGAGUAUGAUCUUGAGUCUGCUGCAGACAUUUUGUUCUACAUUUUGAACAAAUGAAGAGGCCAGCUCUCUCACCCUCUACCUGUAUGAAAGAUGCUGCAGUCCCUUCAUCAUCUUUAUGUCCCUCUGUAGGACUGGCUUCAAUCUGAUCAUGCUUCUUUUCGUUUUGAGGAGCCCAGAACUGGGUGGAGCCUCGAUAUAUCUCACCAAGCCUGAGUAGAGGGAAAGGAUCACAUCAGCCUGCAUGUAAUGUAAUUUCCAGAAGCUGCUGACAUGUUUUGCUUC